AUUAGUGGCGACGGGUGAGUAACACGUGGGCAAUCUGCCCUUCACUCUGGGACAAGCCCUGGAAACGGGGUCUAAUACCGGAUAUUACUCCUGCCUGCAUGGGCGGGGGUUGAAAGCUCCGGCGGUGAAGGAUGAGCCCGCGGCCUAUCAGCUUGUUGGUGGGGUAAUGGCCCACCAAGGCGACGACGGGUAGCCGGCCUGAGAGGGCGACCGGCCACACUGGGACUGAGACACGGCCCAGACUCCUACGGGAGGCAGCAGUGGGGAAUAUUGCACAAUGGGCGAAAGCCUGAUGCAGCGACGCCGCGUGAGGGAUGACGGCCUUCGGGUUGUAAACCUCUUUCAGCAGGGAAGAAGCGAAAGUGACGGUACCUGCAGAAGAAGCGCCGGCUAACUACGUGCCAGCAGCCGCGGUAAUACGUAGGGCGCAAGCGUUGUCCGGAAUUAUUGGGCGUAAAGAGCUCGUAGGCGGCUUGUCACGUCGGAUGUGAAAGCCCGAGGCUUAACCUCGGGUCUGCAUUCGAUACGGGCUAGCUAGAGUGUGGUAGGGGAGAUCGGAAUUCCUGGUGUAGCGGUGAAAUGCGCAGAUAUCAGGAGGAACACCGGUGGCGAAGGCGGAUCUCUGGGCCAUUACUGACGCUGAGGAGCGAAAGCGUGGGGAGCGAACAGGAUUAGAUACCCUGGUAGUCCACGCCCGUAAACGUUGGGAACUAGGUGUUGGGCGACAUUCCACGUCGUCGGUGCCGCAGCUAACGCAUUAAGUUCCCCGCCCUGGGGGAGUACGGCCGCACGCUAAACUCAAAGGAAUUGACGGG
rnacentral:rRNA from 1 species